GGGGAAUAUUGCACAAUGGGCGAAAGCCUGAUGCAGCAACGCCGCGUGAGCGAUGAAGGCCUUUGGGGCGUAAAGCUCUGUCCUAGGGGAAGAAUAAAUGACGGUACCCUUGGAGGAAGCCCCGGCUAACUACGUGCCAGCAGCCGCGGUAAUACGUAGGGGGCAAGCGUUAUCCGGAAUUACUGGGCGUAAAGAGUGCGUAGGUGGUUUUGUAAGCGCGGGGUGAAAGGCAAUAGCUCAACUAUUGUAAGCCCUGCGAACUGUGAUACUUGUGUGCAGGAGAGGAUAGCGGAGUUCCUAGUGUAGCGGUGAAAUGCGUAGACAUUAGGAGGAACACCAGUGGCGAAGGCGACUUUCUGGACCGUAACUGACGCUGAGGCAUGAAAGCGUGGGGAGCAAACA
rnacentral:rRNA from 1 species